GCCUGGCAGGCUCAGUGGGUAGAGCACGUGACUCCUGAUCUUGGGGUUGUAAGUUAAAACCCCACGUUGGGUG
rfam:Ailuropoda melanoleuca scaffold484_58, whole genome shotgun sequence.